rnacentral:pre_miRNA from 1 species
UCUUAUGGAUGAGCAAACAAAGUGGUUUCUUGAGAUGGGAUCUACUCCUGAUGAAGAUGCUGUGAA